UCCCGUUUAGCUCAGUUGGUAGAGCGCGUCACUAGUACUGGUUGCUAUGACGAGGUCAGUCGUUCGAGUCGGCUAAUGGGAA
rnacentral:tRNA from 1 species